CUGAAGGUUGAUGUCACCAUAAACCACAUGUCAUCUUGCACGGCUUCUAAUAUCUUGGAAUUAAAAUUACUGUGAAUGAAAACAUAGGAAUGCAUCUCUUUCAUAAUGCUGAAGGAAUCAAGGAUACUAGAAGUUCAAAUUCUAACGAAAGAGAAGAUAAGCCAACUCUAUCUGCAUAGAUCAAGGCACAAGACCCAGAAUUUUGAGGGAAGGAUGAAAGGCAAAGCCGACCUUCGCAGAAUUUGAACUCAGAACAAAAAGACAGACAGAAAAAGAGUCAUAUUAAUAUAGUAUUCGAGCAGAAUGCUAUUCUGCAGCAAAUUGGCAUGUAUGUGUGACCAAUAAUGUUUACAUUACUGGAGCUGCUUUUAAUAAAAAAUUUUAUUUAAAUAUAUACGCAGCACGGAAUUUUGUCAGUGAACAGGUCACGGUCUCAAAGCGACGAAAAUAU